rnacentral:tRNA from 3 species
GGAAGUAGCUCAGCUUGGUAGAGCACUUGGUUUGGGACCAAGGGGUCGCAGGUUCGAAUCCUGUCUUCCCGA